CAUAUUAUUUAUAAUGUUUAAUGAUUGACUCCUUAAUACUUGAUGCAUCUACGCAUUAGAUAUUUACGAUGUAUAUAUUGUGUAAUACUAUCAUUUGUGGUUAUAUUAAAUAUCAAUCUAAAGAAAAGUUAAGUAGAAUGAAUUGGAACUGUAUAUGUACUUUAAUACUUACUCGCAAUACAAUUGCGAUUGUUUUAAGUAAAUUUUUUACGUUUUAUAUAAAGAAUCUAUUCCUCCCUCCUUUUUUUUUCUAUUUUCUUAAUUAAUGUUCUUCAAAAAAUAUAUUUUUUUAGUUAUGAAAAUCUUCAUUUCGUUGCAUACAUAUCAAACACAUUUAUCAGUUUUAAAAAUAUAACUACAGUGAUGACUAAUAAAUAUAAAUUGAUAUUUAGUUUCUUAGUUGAAGCCUUAAAGAAGAUACCAGAAACACUUGUAAUCUUUUGUGAUAUAUCAUAUAUUCGUUAAUCUGAUAAUAUUUUAAUAGCGUUAUUAUUAAAUCUAUAUUAUUUAACGCGUUUUUAUAUUCUAUUGUCAUCAUUUAAUUAAUUUGGCUGGCUUAUUAUGUUAAUAUUGUAAUAUUGAUACUAUUUUUGUCGUUUCAUAUUGUUAUCGACCAGUAAAAUUUCAUAACCUAUCGUAAAGUCAUAAAAGGUUGAAUAUUUUACAAUAAAGAUCGAUAACGUACACGCUAUAAAAGACUCUACUACGUUUGAAGUAGAUGUACAUUAAAUUUGUCACUUUUUAAAACAUGAAAAAUAUAAUUGAAAGAUUUGAUGACACAUAUUAUUGAAAACUGUAUAAAAUCUACAAGUAUUGCAAUAUAUACACCUAAUUACUAUUUAAUCUUGGAAUUUGAAUACUGCUAAUGAUAAAGUAUAUAGUACAAGUACUAUCAUAUUGUGCGUUUAUUCACGUUUGAAAUUAAAAGUCAUGAUUUAUUGUUAUCUUUCUACAUAAUGGA